AGAGUAGGCGCAGGUGGUUGCAGACUUGCUGCUAAGCAAGUCUGAGGAAAGUCCGGGCUCCCGAAAGACCAAACUUGCUGGGUAACGCCCAGUGCGGGUGACCGUGAGGAUAGUGCCACAGAAACAUACCGCCUUUUUUAGUGACCCUUUUCAGAGACCAAACAACUGGUAACUGAUAACUAGUUACUUAAAAGGGUAAGGGUGCAAAGGUGCGGUAAGAGCGCACCAGCGUAACCGUGAGGUUGCGGCUCGGUAAACCCCGGUUGGGAGCAAGGUAAAGGAACUACGGUUGGUCUUUUACCAGUUCCGCUCAAAAGAGCCGCUAGAGGCGUCUGGUAACAGGCGUCCCAGAUAGAUAACUGCCCU
rnacentral:RNase_P_RNA from 1 species